AGAGCAUCAUAGGCCAUUCAAACCUUCAACAUAAAAUGGAAGAAUCCAAGGGUUUUGUUGGUGGUGAGUCUCAAAAACCACAUCCAGAAAUGCCCUCUAUUUCUUUUCAAAUUCCUAUGCCAGGGAGGAAUCGAUCUGGUGGUCUCUACCCUUGGGGAUGGAGGCAAAGAGCAAUAAUACCACAGCACACCGUGCGAAACUCUAACGGGGCAAGUGAGAACACAAAUUUGAAGGUGUAAGUCACUCAUGGAGUAAUAAUACUAUGUAUGAAAAUGUGAAACGUUUGAACAGUUGUUGCGGUUGUUAUGUUGUCUUCUUCAUUAUCGUAUAUUAUCGUGCAUGGGUGUACGUAGCUCAGUACCUGCUUUGAGGAUAAAAGCUUUACUAGGCUUGAAUAUGAAUAUCUUCAGCAGUUUGUAUUGAUAAAUGACUCAUAUAUGUAUUGUAAGUGCUACAACUUUGUACUUUUGUGAUACCACAUGUUUAUGUUCUUCGUUCAUGGAUGGAUCGAAUCCAAAAGAUGAUAAGCUUUUACUAAAGAAUAAUACUGUUUUUUAGAU
rnacentral:lncRNA from 1 species